AAUCAACGCUGGCGGCGUGCCUCAGACAUGCAAGUCGAACGCGAAAGUCCCCUUCGGGGGGCAAGUAGAGUGGCGCACGGGUGAGUAACACGUAGGUAAUCUACCUUUGGAUGGGGAAUAACAACCGGAAACGGUUGCUAAUACCGCAUAAUGCAGCGGCACCUAAUGGUGACAGUUGUUAAAGCGGGGGAUCGAAAGACCUCGCGUCUGAAGAGGAGCCUGCGGCGGAUUAGCUAGUGGUAAGGUAACGGCUUACCAAGGCGACGAUCCGUAGCCGGCCUGAGAGGGCGGUCGGCCACACUGGCACUGACAUACGGGUCAGACUCCUACGGGAGGCAGCAGUCGGGAAUUUUGGG
rnacentral:rRNA from 1 species